rnacentral:rRNA from 1 species
GACGAACGCUGGCGGCGUGCUUAACACAUGCAAGUCGAACGGAAAGGCCCUGCUUUUGUGGGGUGCUCGAGUGGCGAACGGGUGAGUAACACGUGAGUAACCUGCCCUUGACUUUGGGAUAACUUCAGGAAACUGGGGCUAAUACCGGAUAGGAGCUCCUGCUGCAUGGUGGGGGUUGGAAAGUUUCGGCGGUUGGGGAUGGACUCGCGGCUUAUCAGCUUGUUGGUGGGGUAGUGGCUUACCAAGGCUUUGACGGGUAGCCGGCCUGAGAGGGUGACCGGAGAGUAGGGAGGUGGCGGACGGACACGGAGCGCAGGGGAGGAGAGAGAGGGGAAUGUGCGACGGUGGGCGGAGCGGGCGGGCGGCAGGGGCGCGGGGGGGGGGCCGUCUGUGCGGUUGUCCCGCGCUGCCGGGGGGGGCGAGGGGGGAGGGAGGGUAAUGGGGAAAGAAGCAGCGGCUAACGACGUGACAGCGGCCGCGGUAAGACGCGGAAGAGCAUACGUCCUACC